CAGGACUGGAUCAGCCUUUGCAAAAUGCUGACGUUCCAGCCUCCAUGGAUGUUGCAAUGGGAAAAAUAAAAAGCUAUCAGGUCCUCCUGCCUGUCUGGAAGAUGAAAGAAGCUGUCAUUGAAAUGAGUUCACCUGCAGGCAGUGACCAUGUUGACUAUUCAGACCAGCCAUCUCUCUGCCUUGAGGGCCACACCAGAGGACCGCUUACUACUGAAGGAUCCCAGGAUUAAGGAGAUUGCUGCAAAUCACAAAAAAAUCCCCAGCUCAGGUUCUGAUCCAAUUCCAAAUACAGAGGAAUGUAGCAGUGAUCCCCAAGUCUGUGACACCAACACGCAUUGUUGAGAUCUUUCAGGUCUUUGACUUCAAGCUGAGUGAUGAGGAGAUGGUGGCCAUCCUCAGCUUCAACAGAAACUGGAGGUUCAACACUGGGCUUAACAACCACCAAGCAUGGAUUCCAAUGCUCUCUCCAACCUCACAAUGGUGUCAGAAAUUGUUUAAACAGGGGCCAGGGAUUUAGCUCACUGGUGCUGCCACCUGCCUCGCAAGCACAGUCCUGAGUUCAAUUCCCGGUACAAAAGAAAGAAAGAAAGAAAGAAAGAAAGAAAGAAAGAAAGAAAGAAAGAAAGAAAGAAAGAAAGAAAGAAAGAAAGAAAUUAUUUAGACAUUAUUUGUAGGGCAGUUGACUUGGCACCAGGCCUCCUACAAGCCAUCAUUAUGAAUUUAUUUUUGCACCAUGGUCACUAUUUAUUUGCCUGCCAUCCUUUCUCUAGUAUCCCUCCCAUCAAUUUGAAGGAAGGUCAAGGUGUGAGCCCUCUUCUUAUGUUCUCACAAAGUCUUGACAUGGUGGGCAGAGGCCGAGAGAGCAGAAAGAUGACAGGACACACCAG
rnacentral:lncRNA from 1 species